GAUGAACGCUGGCGGCGUGCCUAAUACAUGCAAGUCGAGCGAACGGACGAGAAGCUUGCUUCUCUGAUGUUAGCGGCGGACGGGUGAGUAACACGUGGAUAACCUACCUAUAAGACUGGGAUAACUUCGGGAAACCGGAGCUAAUACCGGAUAAUAUUUUGAACCGCAUUGUUCAAAAGUGAAAGACGGUCUUGCUGUCACUUAUAGAUGCAUCCGCGCUGCAUUAGCUAGUUGGUAAGGUAACGGCUUACCAAGGCAACGAUGCAUAGCCGACCUGAGAGGGUGAUCGGCCACACUGGAACUGAGACACGGUCCAGACUCCUACGGGAGGCAGCAGUAGGGAAUCUUCCGCAAUGGGCGAAAGCCUGACGGAGCAACGCCGCGUGAGUGAUGAAGGUCUUCGGAUCGUAAAACUCUGUUAUUAGGGAAGAACAUAUGUGUAAGUAACUGUGCACAUCUUGACGGUACCUAAUCAGAAAGCCACGGCUAACUACGUG
rnacentral:rRNA from 1 species